AUUGGUUCGAGCCACUUAUACCAAUUCUGAGCACCAUCGUGAACAAAUUUCCGGAUCAUUCCGCCGAUCACU